GACGAACGCCGGCGGCGUCCUUAACACAUGCAAGUCGAACGGUAAGGCCCUUCGGGGUACACGAGUGGCGAACGGGUGAGUAACACGUGGGUGAUCUGCCCUGCACUUCGGGAUAAGCCUGGGAAACUGGGUCUAAUACCGGAUAGGACCACUGCCUGCAUGGGUGGUGGUGGAAAGCUUUUGCGGGGUGGGAUGGGCCCGCGGCCUAUCAGCUUGUUGGUGGGGUGAUGGCCUACCAAGGCGACGACGGGUAGCCGGCCUGAGAGGGUGACCGGCCACACUGGGACUGAGAUACGGCCCAGACUCCUACGGGAGGCAGCAGUGGGGAAUAUUGCACAAUGGGCGCAAGCCUGAUGCAGCGACGCCGCGUGAGGGAUGACGGCCUUCGGGUUGUAAACCUCUUUCAGCACCGACGAAGCGCAAGUGACGGUAGGUGCAGAAGAAGGACCGGCCAACUACGUGCCAGCCGCCGCCGUAA
rnacentral:rRNA from 1 species